GGGCAGGUGAGUCUAGUGGUUAGGGUGUUCUGAUUCCCAGUCGAACGGUUCUAGGUUCGACACCCAAUGUCUGCAGUCCA